GACGAAGGUGGCGAGCGUUACUCGGAAUUACUAGGUGUAAAGCGUGGGCAGGUGGUUUGGUAAGUCUGCUGUGAAAGCUCCUGGCUUAACUGGGAGAGGCCAGUGGAUACUGCCAGGCUUGAAUAUGGGAGAGGUGACUGGAAUUCCUGGUGUAGCGGUGGAAUGCGCAGAUAUCAGGAGGAACACCUAUAGCGAAGGCAGCUCGCUGGGACGGUACUGACGCUGAGGCGCGAAAGCGUGGGGAGCGAACAGG
rnacentral:rRNA from 1 species